UAUACUGAAAAUGCUGUGAAAAUACAGCGGUAUUUGGUGAAUGCGUUUCAACGUCCUGCCGAAGAGCUCUUCGUUGCCCCUUUCCUCAGUACUUUCUGGAUUUUUGCAGCAUCGGUAAUCCCGUCGGAACACCGAAGGUCCCGUGAGGGCAAAAAUCUCGGAAAUACAGGAAAGAUCAAUGUCAGAUGAUACAAAAACAGGCCACGUAAAGUGGUUUAACGAGUCCAAGGGCUUUGGCUUCAUCGCUCAGGACGGUGGCAGUGACGUUUUCGUUCACUACAGUGCAAUCAACGCGAGCGGAUUCCGCACCCUGACCGAAGGUCAGCAGGUGCAGUUUACCGUUACACAGGGACCGAAAGGCCCCCAGGCGGAAAACGUAACCCCGGUCUGAGGUUUACGCGACCCCGCCCUAUGCCCCUCACGGGCACAGGGAAUACGAAAAAGCCGGCAGCUGCCGGCUUUUUUAGU
rnacentral:sRNA from 1 species